CUGGUAUAGAGUAUGAUGACCUGGAUACCAUAUUGUGCCAAAGACCUCUACGAAAGAUAGAUGCCAGAGGCAGAAAGGGGGCAGGAACAAAUGUCCCCCCUGGAUGCAAUGGAUGCUGCAAGCCAAGAAAUCACAGCUGAACACUGUCAGGGGUGGAUAUGUCAUACAAAAAAAAUUCUUCCCAAGAUGCCUUGACAGAGAAGAUAUCAGGUGUGAUGUGGAUGAGAACAGGUGGCCAAAUGC